rnacentral:misc_RNA from 1 species
GUACACACCGCCCGUCAAGUCACGAAAGUUGGUAACACCCGAAGCCGGUGGCCUAACCCUUGUGGGGGGAGCCGUCGAAGGUGGGACCGGCGAUUGGGACUAAGUCGUAACAAGGUAGCCGUACCGGAAGGUGCGGCUGGAUCACCUCCUUUCUAAGGAGCUGCUAAUGAUUGCUGCUGUGCCUGCAUGGGUGUGGUGGUGGUUGUCAGUGUUGCCCAUUGCGCAGGCGUCUGUUCUGCGGUGGGUGCUCAUGGGUGGAAUAUCAACGAAUCUUUUUUUGGCAUGGCCUUCCCGGUUGUGUCCUGGUGCGAGUACGGCGGUCUCCGUGUCCCUUUUGUGGGGGUGUGGGGGUUGUUGGGAAAGUUGCUGGGGUGCGGGGUGUGGGGGUUGUGUUUGGCGCACUGUUGGGUCCUGAGGCAACAGGACCUUUUUGCAGCAAUGCAGGGGGGCACUUCUGGUGUUUCUUUUGUUCCUGCGACCGGUUCCUCUGGUUACUGUUAUCGGCCCUGUUUGUGGGUUGUGGUGGUUGGGGGUCUGGUUGAUGGGGUUGUUGUUUGAGAACUACAUAGUGGACGCGAGCAUCUGAGACACAUGCCUUUGUGGUGUGUGUUUCUACAGCAAUUUCUUAUGAAUGAACCUGGCCCUUGUGGUCGUGGUUCUCUCGAGUAAGUUUUUGAUCAUUUUGUGUGGUCAAGUUUUUAAGGGCGCACGGUGGAUGCC